CGAAAGCCUGACGGAGCAAUACCGCGUGAGGGAGGAAGGCCUUUGGGUUGUAAACCUCUUUUCUCAGGGAAGAAGAUCUGACGGUACCUGAGGAAUAAGCAUCGGCUAACUCCGUGCCAGCAGCCGCGGUAAUACGGAGGAUGCAAGCGUUAUCCGGAAUCAUUGGGCGUAAAGCGUCCGCAGGUGGCUCAUCAAGUCUGCUGUUAAAGACAGAAGCUCAACUUCUGAUAGGCAGUGGAAACUGGUGAGCUGGAGUACGGUAGGGGUUGAGGGAAUUCCCAGUGUAGCGGUGAAAUGCGUAGAUAUUGGGAAGAACACCAGUGGCGAAGGCGCUCAACUGGGCCGUAACUGACACUCAGGGACGAAAGCUAGGGUAGCG
rnacentral:rRNA from 1 species